UCUUUCAGGUUGGCUGCAGAAGGUCCGAAGAAAGAGGAGUUACUGGAGGAAAAAGUGGUUCAGAGGUGACUAUUCAACCGCAUAAGAGAUGGUGAAAAUUAACCUAUCACCACUGCUAAUGAACAUCACCCUAUGGAGAACCGGCUUGCAGCAUAAGUGCUGGAUAAUGAUAAUGUUCAGCAUUUAUGGAAUGCUUGUCAUGAUUGUGCCAGACACCGUGGAGAAGUCAGGCACCAUGUUAUGAGGACACUCAAGCAACCCUGUAGAAAGUUCCAUGUGGUGAGGAACUGAUACCUCCAAUCCAUGGCCAGUACCAAUUUACUUAGCAUGUGAGUGCAUCCUGGAAGUAGAUCCUCUUGUCUCAGCCAUGCCUGAAGCUGACUGCCAUCUCAUGGGAGGCCUCAAGCCAGAACUGUCCAGGCAAGCUGCUCCCAUAUUCUUGAUCCACAGAAACUGUGAAAUAAUUAAUGUUUAUGGUUGUUUCAAGUCACUUACAUUUUAAGUUCAUUUGUUAUGCAGCAGUAGAUAAUGGAAACUCUGUAAACAGGAGCCCAGUCUGGGGAGGAUGGAGAUAGUAAUCAGGAGAGGCUUCCUGGAGGAGGUGUUAGCUGAGCUAUGUCUUGUAGAAUGAGGAGUUCUGAGUAGGAGUUAGUGAGGCAGAGAGUGUUGGGGUGCUAAGGCUUUCCGGGCAGGAGGAACAAUAUGUAUAAAGGACCACUUCAGGCCCCAUCUUCUCUGCAAAGUCUUCCCUAACCAUUCACUGCCUGAGUCAUUCAUUUACUUACUCAUUCAUUCGACAAAGCUUUGAUGAGAGCCUCCUAUGUCCUGGGCUCCUUGCAGAGUACUGGGGUUGCUGUAAGUUGCAUAUUCUGAGACUGCUCAGUUGGGCAUAGAAAACUCAAAUGCCCACAAGGGCUAGGCAAGUAAUGCAAGCCAGGGAAGCUGAGUGGUGCACUGGGAGUCAGGGGUGAGGCCAGAGAGAAGUGGAGAGCCCAAUUCCCAAGAAAGGCCCAUCAUUUCUCAGCUCCAGUUGUCAGCUGGAAGCCCAAGUCGGCUGUCAGAAUGUAAGUCCAAAUCUGGCCAGAUCUUCCAAUUUAUCAAGAUAAUCUAGAAAUUGUAUUUUAGUAUAAAGUCUCCUCAUUUUCAAAAGGCAGCCAGCCCAAACUUGUGGUCAAAUUUCUCUCUUUCCAGCCUUCUGUUCAGGAGCUCCAUGAGUUGGCUGGUGGAGACUUCAGCUUCUCUCCUGCACUGACCGCAAAGCUUUGUCCUCUGCCUUCUGGUUAGCUUGAGUCCUGUGUGACUGGUGCAAUGACUAAUUGUCUCAAUAGUUUUCUAAGUGGUGGCAUGUAACACCUGAGCUCCACUGAUCUCCCAGGAAGGGAAAGAAAGUUGGUGUUUAUUCACAUGCAGACUUCCAUAGCUCCUCAGCAAAGCCCUCUGUAGCCCAACACCAUUAUGGUAAAGGUGUCGAAGCAAAAUUACAGAAUGUAAGGUAGUUUAAUCUGGUGGACAGUGAGCACUUUGUGCAUUUCUGAAGCCACGAUACCUACUGACAGCAUCCAGGGUUGGCCACCUAGUGACUUUUCAAGACACUGGUAUGUGGCUGUGGGAGUGUCCAUAUCUUAGAAAGAGGACAGUGAGUUUAUGGAAGCCUUCCUGUGUGCAAGCACGGGGCUUCCUGUGUGCAAGCAUGGGGCUGUGCAUACAGAAGCUUAUUUAAUCCUCCCAACAGCCCUGGAAGAUUGGUGUUAUCAUUGUUCUCAUUUGCAGAUGAGAAAACAGAGUCCCAGGGAAGCUUACUGAUUUGUCCAGGGUCUUGCAGCCAAUAAGAGGCAGGGCAGGCAUCUCUUUUGGGACUGUUAAAAGUCUAUGUUCUUAUCUACUCUGCUGUAAUUUUUCUCCCUGGCACUGAAAAAAAGAAAGCACUGGGGUUUCUGAGUUCUUAUUGGAGAGGAACAGAGCAAUGACAAUCUGAUUGGAGGAGGGUCAGGCUGUGGGGCAUGUAAAGCAGUGCCUAUAGAGCAGGCACAGCUUAUUGUUUUGUUUUGUUUUUCUCUCUUAGAAUGAGGUGCUUUCCCUUCUUCUCCUCCUACCCCCAAGUAAGCCCUUGGUGAUGCCACUGAGAGGGACCUAGUUAUGAAAGGAAUUUCAAGGACAACCCGUAUGUCAGAUUUAGUGACAUAGUUUGUACUGAGCUUGUGAGUUAUUAGUCAGGUGAGUCUUUUUCUCUAUUGUAUCAUGUACCUUGAUCUGUGGCGGGAAGCGGCACAAAGGAGAGGAAAUGCCAUAGGCUUUGGAGCCUGGGAAAUGUAAGUUUCAAUCCAGAUUCACUCACUAACUAGGUGUGUGACCUUGGACGCGUUGUAACCUGUCUGAGCUCCAGUCUCCCCUUCCGGCACACGAGGUCAAGAAUACGCAAUUUACAGCAACCUCAGGGCUCUUCGUGGAGCCUGGGACAGAGGAGGCUCUCACCAAAGCCUUGUAGAAUGAAUAAGUAAAUGAAUGAAUCAGUCAAUGAAUGGUUAGGGAAGACUUUGCAGAGCAGAUAGGGCUUGAAGCAGUCCUGGAGGAUUUAAUACGUGGAAAAGAGGAGGGAGAGAAUUGAAGAGAGGGAAUUGUAGGCAGGGAAAUGACAUAACCAGCGGCUUGGUGGAGAGAAUUCCAGGCUUAGAGGAUAAUGAAAGGCCAAUAUGGCUUCUGGUGGAGGAGAGGAUGGCCUAGGAGGGGCCUGCACCGACUUCCCCAUCCUGAUUAAAUUUCCUCAGUGGCCAAAGAGCGCUAGGUGCUGACACUAAUAGUUCCUUUAACAGGGCCUUUCAUCUCCUAUUCAAAGUGCUUUGCAAGUGUUAAUUAAAUCUCCAAACACCUCAUGAGGUAAAUAUUAUUUAUCCACCUUUUGUAGAUGAAGACAUUUAGGCACAAAGAGCGGUGAUUUUCCCAGGGCAAUGUCUAGAUGGGUGUCCAUUCCCACCUUCAUUCCAGAAUUGCCAAAACAUGUCUUUAGAAGAAAGCAGAAAAAACAAAUCAGAUCUUUUUUGCCAUCCCCCCUCCUAUAUCCUCAUACAUAUAAAAGACAGAAAUUAGGACAAAAAAAAGAUGUUAUUUCAGAUAUUUCUUAGUUAUUUUAAAGUCCCCCCAAUGCAUUCUCAAAUGUAUACCUCCCUUCCCAAUUUUUUAGAACUUACAGGUUACAAGGUUGAGAAAAUUGUUCAGUUGAAUGAUUCACAAGUAUAUUCAGGCCUAAAAAUCGGUGCUUUAUAUUUCUCAUCUGUAACACGGGACCCCUCUUUCAGAGUUGUUGUGAGGAUUGAAGGAGUAAAUUUAUACAAAAGCA
rnacentral:lncRNA from 1 species